CCUGCAGCAGUGUUUCCCUGGGUUCCUGUGGUGGGGGUGGGGGCUGUCCUGACUGCUGGAGCUCUGCUACUCACCAUCUACUGCACUCUGAAGAGGAGAUCCACAGGAGGAAGUGAUGCCACAGCAGACACACAGAAUGUGAGAGACGCUCCCAGUGACACAGCCCCUCAGAUAGAUGCUGAGCCCUCCGAUUAUGAGAACUGGAGCGAACCACCACAGAACCUGGACAGUGACACAGCCCCUCAGAUAGAUGCUGAGCCCUCC